rnacentral:rRNA from 1 species
UACGUAGGUGGCGAGCGUUAUCCGGAUUUACUGGGUGUAAAGGGCGUGUAGGCGGCUCUGCAAGUCAGAUGUGAAAUUUCCGGGCUUAACCCGGACGGGUCAUCUGAUACUGCAGGACUUGAGUACUGGAGAGGAUAGCGGAAUUCCUAGUGUGGCGGUAAAAUGCGUAGAUAUUAGGAGGAACACCGGUGGCGAAGGCGGCUAUCUGGACAGUAACUGACGCUGAGGCGCGAGAGCGUGGGGAGCAAACAGGAUUAGAUACCCGCGUA